rnacentral:rRNA from 1 species
GACGAACGCUGGCGGCGUGCUUAACACAUGCAAGUCGAACGGAAAGGCCCUGCUUUUGUGGGUUGCUCGAGUGGCGAACGGGUGAGUAACACGUGAGUAACCUGCCUUUGACUUUGGGAUAACUUCAGGAAACUGGGGCUAAUACCGGAUAGGAGCUCCUGCUGCAUGGUGGGGGUUGGAAAGUUUCGGCGGUUGGGGAUGGACUCGCGGAUUAUCAGCUUGUUGGUGGGGUAGUGGCUUACCAAGGGUUUGACGGGUAGCCGGCCUGAGAGGGUGACCGGCCACAUUGGGACUGAGAUACGGCCCAGACUGCUACGGGAGGCAGCAGUGGGGAAUAUUGCACAAUGGGCGGAAGCCUGAUGCAGCAACGCCGCGUGCGGGAUGACGGCCUUCGGGUUGUAAACCGCUUUCGCCUGUGACGAAGCGUGAGUGACGGUAAUGGGUAGAGAAGCAACGGCUAACUACGUG